GACGAACGCUGGCGGCGUGCCUAAUACAUGCAAGUUGAGCGCUGAAGGUUGGUUCUUGUACCGACUGGAUGAGCAGCGAACGGGUGAGUAACGCGUGGGGAAUCUGCCUUUGAGCGGGGGACAACAUUUGGAAACGAAUGCUAAUACCGCAUAAAAACUUUAAACACAGGUUUUAAGUUUGAAAGAUGCAAUUGCAUCACUCAAGGAUGAUCCCGCGUUGUAUUAGCUAGUUGGUGAGGUAAAGGCUCACCAAGGCGAUGAUACAUAGCCGACCUGAGAGGGGGAUCGGCCACAUUGGGACUGAGACACGGCCCAAACUCCUACGGGAGGCAGCAGUAGGGAAUCUUCGGCAAUGGACGAAAGUCUGACCGAGCAACGCCGCGUGAGUGAAGAAGGUUUUCGGAUCGUAAAACUCUGUUGGUAGAGAAGAACGUUGGUGAGAGUGGAAAGCUCAUCAAGUGACGGUAACUACCCAGAAAGGGACGGCUAACUACGUG
rnacentral:rRNA from 1 species